rnacentral:rRNA from 1 species
UACGAAGGGGGCUAGCGUUGCUCGGAAUCACUGGGCGUAAAGCGCACGUAGGCGGCUUUCUAAGUCAGGGGUGAAAUCCUGGAGCUCAACUCCAGAACUGCCUUUGAUACUGGAGAGCUUGAGUCCGGAAGAGGUGAGUGGAACUCCGAGUGUAGAGGUGAAAUUCGUAGAUAUUCGGAAGAACACCAGUGGCGAAGGCGGCUCACUGGUCCGGUACUGACGCUGAGGUGCGAAAACGUGGGGAGCAAACAGG